GACGAACGCUGGCGGCGUGCCUAACACAUGCAAGUCGCACGGGAUCGGGGGCAACUCCGGUUCAGUGGCAGAUGGGUGCGUAACACGUGAGGAACUUGUCCGACGGCGGGGGAUAGCCGGCCCAACGGCCGGGUAAUACCGCGUACGCUCGUUUGGGGACAUCCCCGGGCGAGGAAAGCAGCCGCAAGGUUGCGCCGAUGGAGAGCCUCGCGGCCUAUCAGCUAGUUGGCGGGGUAAUGGCCCACCAAGGCAACGACGGGUAGCUGGUCUGAGAGGAUGGCCAGCCACAUUGGGACUGAGACACGGCCCAGACUCCUACGGGAGGCAGCAGUGGGGAAUAUUGCGCAAUGGCCGCAAGGCUGACGCAGCGACGCCGCGUGUGGGAUGACGGCCCUCGGGUUGUAAACCACUGGUCGGGGGGACGAAUACAGGGCCUCGAAUAGGGGACCC
rnacentral:rRNA from 1 species